GAUGAACGCACAAGACGUGCCUAACACAUGCAAAUCGAAUGAAAACAAUUUAAUUAUUGUUUUCAUGGUGAACGGGUGAGUAACACAUAAGAAUCAGCUUUUAGAUAAGGCAUAAAAGAGUAAUAUCUUGGUAAUUCCUUAUAUGCGCAGCAGUGCUUAAAAAGGGGAGUCCCGUCUAAAAACGAGCUUAUGCCUGAUUAGCUAGUUGGCGAGUUAAAAGCUCCCCAAGGCGAAGAUCAGUAGCUGGCCUGAGAGGGCGGCCAGCCACAUUGGGACUGAG
rnacentral:rRNA from 1 species